CGCAGUAGACCUUUGAAAACUGAACAAAGCAAGCAAACGAACCAAUGUGUAGGGCGCUUCAUUUANNNNNNNNNNNNCUGGUGUACCAGUUGUCUCGCCAGAGGCAUCGCUGGGUAGCUAUGUAGGGAAGGGAUAAACGCUGAAAGCAUCUAAGUGUGAAGCCCACCUCAAGAUGAGAUUUCCCAUUUCUUUAAGAAAGUAAGAUCCCUGAGAGAUGAUCAGGUAGAUAGGUCAGAAGUGGAAGGCCAGUGAUGGUUGGAGCGGACUGAUACUAAUCGAUCGA
rnacentral:ncRNA from 1 species